UUAAGUUCAGCGGGUAUUCCUACCUGAUCCGAGGUCAACCUUGAAAUUGGGGUGUUUUACGGCAGGAGCCCGCGACACGACCAGAGCGAGAUGCGUUACUGCGCUCGGGGUGAAGGCGAGCCCGCCACUGAAUUUCGGGGCGUGCGGCAGCCGCAUGGCCCCAUCGCAAGCCCGGGGGCUUGAUGGUUGAAAUGACGCUC
rnacentral:misc_RNA from 1 species